rnacentral:lncRNA from 1 species
CGGGGCCGGGCGGCAGGGAGAGGCGGGCGCCCGGCCUGGCCGCGGAGCGGGCCCAGGUGCUGCUGGUUUCGCCGAGAUGCCUGGGACUCUUGGAGGCUGAGUGAGCUGUUUGGCCAAAGGGCAGAGGCCCUCUCCAUCAUGCAGGAGAAUGACCAGACUCCGCUCUCUCAGGGAUUUGUGAUCUCCUGGAUGGAGCAAGAGGAAGAGCUACAGGUCUUGGAUCCCCAGGACUUGGAGAAAACAGAGAUCCCAAGGUUCACAGUUCGCUACUUGGAUCAUGCCCAAAACAAAAACCAGAUGGCAUCUACAAAGGCUAAGCAACACAUAUGGAGCACUUUCAAGGACCCAAACGUUUGAGGAGAGUAGGGUUGAUCCUGGAUUCAGUUACCAAUGGAUGCAAUAUACCAAAAAAGGUACUGAUAAAACAACAAAGAGAAGAGCAGCUUAGACAAUUUAAUAAUCCAAUUUAGGUUUAGUGGCAGUACCCAGUGAAACUGCUACAGGUUAGAGUCUAUCCACAGACUCUCACUAUAUAUGUUGGAUUUGGGUUUAGACCUGAAAAGCCAUCUGCACUAACAUUGGAGACCACCCAGUGCUCAGCCUGUAGGAGCAGCAAAGUGGAGAUGGCUCAUGGAGGGAUGCAAGGAGCCCUGUGAGCGUGCAGUGAGGUCAGAUACAGAAGCAACUAAACAUGCAACCCCCUGGUUAAGAAUAGUAGGAGCAAAAGAAAUCCUACCAAUGGUAUAGGCCCAUUACUAGAUGAAGUUGGUAAAAUUGUUAAUAAUGAUACAGAAAUAUUCAGUAAAAAUUCUGUAUUGGCAAAGAAGCAGGAUGGUGUAUUCCAGUCACUAGAGGAUGCUGAACUACUUUCCAGCCCAUUAGUAACUAAGCAGAAGUUGUUUUACAUCCUCCUGCAUGUAAUUUUCAUCCAAGAGUCCUCAGAGAGUCAGCCGAGGCAUUCUCUGGCCCACUUAUGUUAAUUUUUAAUAAAUCUUGUGAAAGCAGGGAAAUUCCAGAAGACUGGACGAGAACUAACAUUGUGCCAAUAUUUAAAAAGGGCAAGUAGGAUGACCUGAGUAACUAUAGGCCGGUUAGCCUGACUUCAAACCCGGAUAACUAAGGGAAAAGCUGAUACUAGGAUCAGUCAAUAAAGAAUUAAAAACUGGAAAUAGAAUUAACACAAGUCAUCAUGGUUUUACCUAAAACAGGUCUUGUCAAACAAGCCUGAUUCCAUUUUGAUGAGACUACAAGUUGGUUGAUAAAGAGAGCUCUAAACUUUUGUAGGUCAUUUGACACAGUACUCAUGACAGUUUGAUUAAGAAAUGCACGCUGUCCAAUGGAGCCCAUUUUAAAUGGAUGAAGAGCAGGCGAACUGACUGAUCUCAGAAAGUAGUUAUCAGUGAGGAAUCAGUGGAGCCUCGUGUUUUUCACAAAUUUGAAAUAAAACAAAAAACUCACCCUGCAGCAG